AAAUAAGAGGUCUGUGUUUUUCAGUAAUGGCAAGUUAGGGUAGUUGAGACAGGUGGAAGACAAAAUCUUUUUUUUUUUUUUUCUUUUUUUGGAGACAGAGUCUCAUUUUGUCAUCCAAGCUGGAGUGCAGAGGCGUGAUCUAGGCUCACUGCAACCUCUCGGAUUCAAGGGAUUUUCCUGUCUCAGCCUCUCGGAAGAGAACAUCUUCAUAGGAGAGGAGCUCUAGGAACUGAGAAUGCAGGAAAUUAGAAGAAAUAUAAAUUAAUAGCCAAGAAUUUAGACAGGACUGGGGAGCCAGGAACAAACAAUUGAGAUGUUGGGCUUUUGAUGGAGUUGCCACGGAUGACAGCGUAGUGAGAAAUGAGAUUUAAAAAUGGAGGAUUGUUCGAGGAGGGAGGAGAGCUGAUCUGAAAGCCACCAAGGAGGACAAAUGGAACACCUACCCCCACUGCAGACUGGAAGCUAUCUCCUCUGCAGAACUCUGUGCUAAUGAUAGAAUUUGCAUACUAAUGAUAAUUGCAACCAAGAAAGCUGUAUUCUCUUUCUACUCGAGAUAUGGAGUCUCACUAUGCUGGCCAGACUGGUCUCAAACUUCUGGGCUCAAGCAAUGCUCCCACCUGCCUCGAUCUCCCAAAAUGCUGGAAUUACAGGCAUAAGCCAUCACACCUGGCCAGUAAUUGACUCUGAAAGUAAUACACAAAGAUUGGAAAGGGAUCUAAGUCCUGAAUUCAAAUGUUAACACAUGCAUUUUGCUAUUUCUUUAUUUUUUAAUUGCAGUAAGAACAAAUAACAUGAGAUCUAUCUUCUUAUCAAAUUUGUAAGUAUAUAGUAAUGUUAACUACAGGCACAAUGUUGUACAGCAUUUGUUCUACAUAAUGUUCUACAGGUAUCUGUAGAACUUAUUCUUCUUACCUAACUGAAACUAUGCCUGUUAAAUGGCAAAUCCCCAUUUUCCUCUCACCCAGCCUCCAGCAACCACUAUCCUACUUUCUGUUUCUGUCAGUUUUACUAUAUUAAACUCCAUA